rnacentral:rRNA from 1 species
GAUGAACGCUAGCGGCAGGCUUAAUACAUGCAAGUCGAGGGGCAGCAGGACUGUAGCAAUACAGUUGCUGGCGACCGGCAAACGGGUGCGGAACACGUACGCAAUCUACCCGAAACUGGGGCAUAGCCCGGGGAAACCCGGAUUAAUACCCCGUAACACUUUGAAGUGGCAUCACUUUAUAGUUAUAGCUCCGGCGGUUUUGGAUGAGCGUGCGGCUGAUUAGGUAGAUGGCGGGGUAACGGCCCACCAAGCCUACGAUCAGUAACUGGUGUGAGAGCACGACCAGUCACACGGGCACUGAGACACGGGCCCGACUCCUACGGGAGGCAGCAGUAAGGAAUAUUGGUCAAUGGACGCAAGUCUGAACCAGCCAUGCCGCGUGGAGGAUGAAGGCCCUCUGGGUUGUAAACUUCUUUUAUAGGGGACGAAACCUCUUUUUCUUGAGAGACUGACGGUACCCUAGGAAUAAGCACCGGCUAACUCCGUGCCAGCAGCAGCCGCAGUAA